rnacentral:rRNA from 1 species
GGGUUGUGAGGUUAAGCGACUAAGCGUACACGGUGGAUGCCCUGGCAGUCAGAGGCGAUGAAGGACGUGCUAAUCUGCGAUAAGCGUCGGUAAGGUGAUAUGAACCGUUAUAACCGGCGAUUUCCGAAUGGGGAAACCCAGUGUGUUUCGACACACUAUCAUUAACUGAAUCCAUAGGUUAAUGAGGCGAACCGGGGGAACUGAAACAUCUAAGUACCCCGAGGAAAAGAAAUCAACCGAGAUUCCCCCAGUAGCGGCGAGCGAACGGGGAGCAGCCCAGAGCCUGAAUCAGUGUGUGUGUUAGUGGAAGCGUCUGGAAAGGCGCGCGAUACAGGGUGACAGCCCCGUACACAAAAAUGCACAUGCUGUGAGCUCGAUGAGUAGGGCGGGACACGUGGUAUCCUGUCUGAAUAUGGGGGGACCAUCCUCCAAGGCUAAAUACUCCUGACUGACCGAUAGUGAACCAGUACCGUGAGGGAAAGGCGAAAAGAACCCCGGCGAGGGGAGUGAAAAAGAACCUGAAACCGUGUACGUACAAGCAGUGGGAGCACGCUUAGGCGUGUGACUGCGUACCUUUUGUAUAAUGGGUCAGCGACUUAUAUUCUGUAGCAAGGUUAACCGAAUAGGGGAGCCGAAGGGAAACCGAGUCUUAACUGGGCGUUAAGUUGCAGGGUAUAGACCCGAAACCCGGUGAUCUAGCCAUGGGCAGGUUGAAGGUUGGGUAACACUAACUGGAGGACCGAACCGACUAAUGUUGAAAAAUUAGCGGAUGACUUGUGGCUGGGGGUGAAAGGCCAAUCAAACCGGGAGAUAGCUGGUUCUCCCCGAAAGCUAUUUAGGUAGCGCCUCGUGAAUUCAUCUCCGGGGGUAGAGCACUGUUUCGGCAAGGGGGUCAUCCCGACUUACCAACCCGAUGCAAACUGCGAAUACCGGAGAAUGUUAUCACGGGAGACACACGGCGGGUGCUAACGUCCGUCGUGAAGAGGGAAACAACCCAGACCGCCAGCUAAGGUCCCAAAGUCAUGGUUAAGUGGGAAACGAUGUGGGAAGGCCCAGACAGCCAGGAUGUUGGCUUAGAAGCAGCCAUCAUUUAAAGAAAGCGUAAUAGCUCACUGGUCGAGUCGGCCUGCGCGGAAGAUGUAACGGGGCUAAACCAUGCACCGAAGCUGCGGCAGCGACACUAUGUGUUGUUGGGUAGGGGAGCGUUCUGUAAGCCUGUGAAGGUGUGCUGUGAGGCAUGCUGGAGGUAUCAGAAGUGCGAAUGCUGACAUAAGUAACGAUAAAGCGGGUGAAAAGCCCGCUCGCCGGAAGACCAAGGGUUCCUGUCCAACGUUAAUCGGGGCAGGGUGAGUCGACCCCUAAGGCGAGGCCGAAAGGCGUAGUCGAUGGGAAACAGGUUAAUAUUCCUGUACUUGGUGUUACUGCGAAGGGGGGACGGAGAAGGCUAUGUUGGCCGGGCGACGGUUGUCCCGGUUUAAGCGUGUAGGCUGGUUUUCCAGGCAAAUCCGGAAAAUCAAGGCUGAGGCGUGAUGACGAGGCACUACGGUGCUGAAGCAACAAAUGCCCUGCUUCCAGGAAAAGCCUCUAAGCAUCAGGUAACAUCAAAUCGUACCCCAAACCGACACAGGUGGUCAGGUAGAGAAUACCAAGGCGCUUGAGAGAACUCGGGUGAAGGAACUAGGCAAAAUGGUGCCGUAACUUCGGGAGAAGGCACGCUGAUAUGUAGGUG